rnacentral:lncRNA from 1 species
UUCCUCGCUAGAAUGUGAGCUCCAGGAGGACAAGGACCUGUCUGUUUUUCUCCAUGUUCAAAUCUCAUGUUCCGGCACAGGACCUGCUUGCACUGGGACUGCUCAGCAAAUAUUGGCGGAACUAAUGAACUCCACAUCGGAAGGCAGUCAUAAGGACCAGCUCCAGCAGUCUGAGAGUGACGGCAUGAGAACAAUAUUGAGAAGAACCUGGAGGCCCUCUCAAGGCUCACUACUCAUGAGGAAGGCUCCAAGCUGGGCGUGGAGGGCUCAAACUCACGACCCUGAGAUCAAGAUCUGAGCCAAGAUCAAGAGUUGGACACUUAACCACCUGAGCCACAUAGGUGCUCCAGUCUCACUUUUUAGGGGAAAAAAAAGAUAUAUAUAUAUAUAUAUGAAGGAGAUGCUUCUAAAUUUAAUUUAAACUUUAGCCGUUGUAACCCAUCUGUGUGGAGAAGAAACCCCAAAUUGCCAACCAUCUUUGUUCUGAACAAAGGUUGGUACCGUUUGCCAUCACUGAGUCUAUGCUCCAGGAGGUCAGGGGCUUGAUAGACUUUGUUUACAGGUCUAUUUCCCAGAGCCUGGGGCAGUGCUAGGCUCAUGGGAGAAAUCUAUAACUAUUGGCUGAGUGCAUAAAUAAAGUUGGGGUUAUUUACUCAUUUUGAAACCCUCCCAUGGCUUCUUCAGGCAGAGAUUAGACUGGGCCUCCAGCUCCCAGGCCUGUCCCAGAGGAGACCUGUGUGGCCUUUACAUCAAUAAUCUCAGGCAUAUUCCAUGUGAAUGCGGUGUUUAGCUGGGCUUGCCACUCAAGCUAACUUAUGGUCCUUUUCUGAGAGCCUCACUACAUACAAGCCCUGAAAUAACUAGGUGCCAGGAACCACUACAGAAACAAAGGGAGACCUUACAAGGAGGGAGGUAGAGUGACUAGGUGAGGAUCAUCAGGUCAAGACUCAUAAGAACACAGUUCUGGUCACUCCCACAUCACUUAACUAGUGUGUGAAGCUUGCUAAGUCAUGUAUUCACUUGAGACCUCAUUCAAAAACUGAAGGGGUUCUUUAGAUCUUAAAUUUUUUCAUCCAAAAAUCUCCACUCUGUGGCCUAGAGUAAGUUUAUAUACCCUGCACCCAAAGCUGAAUCCAUCUACACGUCUGCUACUCCUUCAGAGAUGCCCAUAAGAAAGGUCUGAGAAUGCUCUUGCACCUGCCUUUGGCUGGGGAGAGAGUCAUGCCUGCCUGCCCUCUUGGGGAAGAGAAGGUACCUGGCCUAAUAUACUUCCUGCAGCUCCUAAGGACAAGGCUGGUUUCUUUUGGCCUCACUAGGUAAUAAAAACUUGUGCAUGCAUGCUAGGAGUUGCAUGACGGAACGUUCAAGAUAACCAGCUGAAUUUUAUGAAAAACAGGCAGCGAAGCAUCUUUACUCCUUUUCCAUGGAAACAAAAAUAAUUUUCAAAAAUAUUACCUAGAUAACAGUGCUAUCUGAUCUAAAAAAGUCCUUUGAUAUCUAGUCUUCAAAGGUGACCCCAAGGAAACAUACCUCUCAGUUUUCAUGCCCUCCCACAUCAAAUUGAGGCCACACCUAUAUAACCAACAGAAUGCAGCAGGAGUGACACUGUAUGACUUCUGAACCUAGAUCAUAAGAAGUCUUGAAGCUCCCAUUUUAGUCUCCAGGAAUGUCAAUUCUUGGAAUGCUCACUCUUAGAUCCCAGUCACAUGCUGCAAGAAGCUCAAGCUAUGUAGAGAAGCCAUGUCUCAGCACUCCAGUUGACCAUGGCCCCAGUUGGGCUCCCAGCUAACAGCCAGCUUUGACUGCCAGCCCUACAAGGGUGCCAUCUUGGAGGUCUGGCCCUUUCGAGUCCUUGGAUUACUCAGCCACAGCCCCCAUCUGACUGCAACCACCAUUCUGCAUCCAAUCUGCAUCUUGCAAGCUGUCUCUCACACCAAAGAAUUGUACAGAAAUUCUAGGUCAGGUCAAGUAUUUCCUUUUACAGUUCAAAGAACAUAAUCCCUAUAACUCCAAUUUCUCAGGGUUGUUACUCUG